UACGAAGGGUGCUAGCGUUGUUCGGAAUUAUUGGGCGUAAAGGGCGCGUAGGCGGUGCCACAAGUCACCUGUGAAAUCUCCGGGCUUAACUCGGAGCCUGCAGGCGAAACUGUGGUGCUGGAGUGUGGGAGAGGUGCGUGGAAUUCCCGGUGUAGCGGUGAAAUGCGCAGAUAUCAGGAGGAACACCAAUUGCGAAGGCAGCUCGCUGGGACGUUACUGACGCUGAGACGCGAAAGCGUGGGGAGCAAACAGG
rnacentral:rRNA from 1 species